rnacentral:rRNA from 1 species
GACGUAGGGCGCGAGCGUUGUCCGGAUUUAUUGGGCGUAAAGAGCUCGUAGGCGGCUUGUCGCGUCGACCGUGAAAACUCGCAGCUCAACUGCGAGCCUGCGGUCGAUACGGGCAGGCUAGAGUUCGGUAGGGGAGACUGGAAUUCCUGGUGUAGCGGUGAAAUGCGCAGAUAUCAGGAGGAACACCGAUGGCGAAGGCAGGUCUCUGGGCCGGUACUGACGCUGAGACGCGAAAGCGUGGGGAGCGAACAGG